UUGUAGAUCAUUUAAUCAUAAUCGAUCAACGAAACAAAAAUAUUCGAUGCGCUGCAAAAGUUACAACCCCUGCAGUCGAGGAUGGCUAUGCUUGGAAGUGAGAAAUUACUAUUAAAUUACAUCAUUUAAUCAUAAUCGAUCAACGAAACAAAAAUAUUCGAUGCGCUGCAAAAGUUACAACCCCUGCAGUCGAGGAUGGCUAUGCUUGGAAGUGAGAAAUUACUAUUAAAUUCCAUCAUUUAAUCAUAAUCGAUCAACGAAACAAAAAUAUUCGAUGCGCUGC